rnacentral:lncRNA from 1 species
AUGCACCACAAUUGUGUUUUCAAUUCUACAGCAUCAGUUUUCUCUGUGAUGAGGAGAAAAAAACCCACUCUUUUGAAAUGCGAGUCAUUUGUAACGUUACGUACAGAGGAUUCUGGUGUUGUGAUCUUUCACUUUUGCCCUGCAUUUAAUACCGAAGAUCAUUCAGCCAUGGUGAAACCAGAUGGAGGAAAUUCUCUCCUGCAUGACAUGAAGGCCAAUGACGACAACACUCUCCUGAGCCAUAAAUAUCCCUGGUUAGUUCUUCCUGAGACCAAACUCCUGGUGCAUUUAACGAGCACUUGGCGCAAAACAAGAAUGACACCAGGGCCAGGAGACCUCUGA